AAAUUGAAGAGUUUGAUCAUGGCUCAGAUUGAACGCUGGCGGCAGGCCUAACACAUGCAAGUCGAACGGUAGCACAGGAAGCAGCUUGCUGCUCUGCUGACGAGCGGCGGACGGGUGAGUAAUGUCUGGGAAACUGCCUGAUGGAGGGGAUAACUACUGGAAACGGUAGCUAAUACCGCAUAACGUCGCAAGACCAAAGUGGGGGACCUUCGGGCCUCUUGCCAUCGGAUGUGCCCAGAUGGGAUUAGCUAGUAGGUGGGGUAACGGCUCACCUAGGCGACGAUCCCUAGCUGGUCUGAGAGGAUGACCAGCCACACUGGAACUGAGACACGGUCCAGACUCCUACGGGAGGCAGCAGUGGGGAAUAUUGCACAAUGGGCGCAAGCCUGAUGCAGCCAUGCCGCGUGUGUGAAGAAGGCCUUCGGGUUGUAAAGCACUUUCAGCGGGGAGGAAGGCGAUAAGGUUAAUAACCCUGUCGAUUGACGUUACCCGCAGAAGAAGCACCGGCUAACUCCGUGCCAGCAGCCGCGGUAAUACGGAGGGUGCAAGCGUUAAUCGGAAUUACUGGGCGUAAAGCGCACGCAGGCGGUCUGUCAAGUCGGAUGUGAAAUCCCCGGGCUCAACCUGGGAACUGCAUUCGAAACUGGCAGGCUAGAGUCUUGUAGAGGGGGGUAGAAUUCCAGGUGUAGCGGUGAAAUGCGUAGAGAUCUGGAGGAAUACCGGUGGCGAAGGCGGCCCCUGGACAAAGACUGACGCUCAGGUGCGAAAGCGUGGGGAGCAAACAGGAUUAGAUACCCUGGUAGUCCACGCCGUAAACGAUGUCGACUUGGAGGUUGUGCCCUUGAGGCGUGGCUUCCGGAGCUAACGCGUUAAGUCGACCGCCUGGGGAGUACGGCCGCAAGGUUAAAACUCAAAUGAAUUGACGGGGGCCCGCACAAGCGGUGGAGCAUGUGGUUUAAUUCGAUGCAACGCGAAGAACCUUACCUGCUCUUGACAUCCAGAGAACUUUCCAGAGAUGGAUUGGUGCCUUCGGGAACUCUGAGACAGGUGCUGCAUGGCUGUCGUCAGCUCGUGUUGUGAAAUGUUGGGUUAAGUCCCGCAACGAGCGCAACCCUUAUCCUUUGUUGCCAGCGGUUCGGCCGGGAACUCAAAGGAGACUGCCAGUGAUAAACUGGAGGAAGGUGGGGAUGACGUCAAGUCAUCAUGGCCCUUACGACCAGGGCUACACACGUGCUACAAUGGCGCAUACAAAGAGAAGCGACCUCGCGAGAGCAAGCGGACCUCAUAAAGUGCGUCGUAGUCCGGAUUGGAGUCUGCAACUCGACUCCAUGAAGUCGGAAUCGCUAGUAAUCGUGGAUCAGAAUGCCACGGUGAAUACGUUCCCGGGCCUUGUACACACCGCCCGUCACACCAUGGGAGUGGGUUGCAAAAGAAGUAGGUAGCUUAACCUUCGGGAGGGCGCUUACCACUUUGUGAUUCAUGACUGGGGUGAAGUCGUAACAAGGUAACCGUAGGGGAACCUGCGGUUGGAUCACCUCCUUA
rnacentral:rRNA from 1 species